AGUUUUUGUAUGUUUCUUAUAUUUUUGGGUACUCUGAAAGAGUUGUUUUUUCCGCUAAAACAAUCUCUUAUAAAAACAAAAAAAAAAAAAAAACAAAAUUUGAGUUAUCAUUUCAGUUGGAUAUAUAUUUUUCUCCCAUAAAAAAAAAAAGAAGAAAAUUAUUCAAAACAGAAAUAUGCUUCGUUUUUUUCCUUUUUACAUAUUUAAAAAAACUGUAAAGUUUCUAAAUCAUAUCUUGAGAUAUAUAUAUUAUAAAUGAAUUAUUCGUAUUAAAAUUCUUUGGAAGAAAACAUUAGUCUGCUCACAUUUAAUGUACUGUAAAUAUACCAUACUAGGUAACAUUUAAGUCGACCAAUGCCAGAACAAAUGUUAAAGAUCUUAAUCCGCAAUUGUAUAGUACGGAAAAAAGUAUAUAUACUCCAUGUAUAUAAAAAUUUAAAUCUAUAUAAUUGAACUAUUAUAUUGAGUAAAUUACAUUUAAGAAUAUUUUAAAAUGAAACUAUGCUGCAGAAAAAUGGAAAGAUAAACGAUCAAAUUGUAUUGGAGUACUGAUGAACAACUUACACGUUAAUAGCUAAGUGUAAUUAAUUUUUAAGGGAACAAUUUAAAAAAAAAAAAAAAGAUAUUUUAGGAACUGCAAUAUUAAUUUCUGUUACACUAUAUAUACAGGGUGUCCCGUGGGUCGUGGUCAUAAAUUUGAUACUGUGCAUGUUCAAUAGCAAGGAGCGGGGGGCUCCCUAUGAACAUGGGUCGAGGAACGCACCGUUUCUGAGAGGUGAUGAUGAUGAUGAUGAUGCGUGGGGAGGCUGGGCUUCUUCCCCUUGCCAUGUGGAUGGAGUGCCUUGUUUGUGUGGACGGAGGGGGGUGAACCUGGCUGAUUCGUUGCCUGGACUGUGUUUGAGUGGGACUGCAUGGCUGCAGCAGGUUGCAGCGGUGCGAGUUGGCGGAUGUGCAUUUCACGUGCGGUCGGGCAGGUGGGA
rnacentral:lncRNA from 1 species